rnacentral:misc_RNA from 1 species
AAGUCAUAACAAGGUCUCCGUUGGUGAACCAGCGGAGGGAUUAUUACCAAGUACUAUAACUCAUAACCCUUUGUGAACCUUUAUACCUAUUGCUUCGGCGGCGUGCCUCUCGGGGCGUGCCCGCUGGUAUUAUUAGAAUCUCUAUUUAAACCUGACGAUACUUCUAAGUGUUCUAAGCGAACUAUUAAAACUUUUAAUAACAGAUCUCUUGGCUCCA